rnacentral:lncRNA from 10 species
AAACGCGCGAACUUCUGUGGCUCGAUCCCAGUGCGCACUCCUCCCAGUGCACUGGCCGGUUGGAGUUUUGCCAGGGAGGCCUUCCCACCUGCCUGUCUCAAUGGAAAGAAUAUGUGGAUUUGGAUUCAGGGACACCUUUAUCACCUAUGUGACUUUAGGCUAAUAUAUCUGACCACACUGGCUCUGCAAGACCAUGGCUGAAGACUGCUUAAAUGUUGUCCCUGAGUCAAUAUCUUAACAUUUAUUGCAUCUUUUAUUUUCUUAACAAAAAUGAAGGCAUUUGUGACUGUGUUGUUUUCCAUCAAAAAUUGGGAAUCAUGCCCUUUCAUACAACACAGUUGUGGUCCAUCUUUUCUUCUGGGGUAGUAGAAAGAUCAAGAUCAUCAGAGAACGUAGGGUGCAAUAUCAGCUCUCCAGUACCAAACACGGUUCAUUAACCUCUCGGAACCUCAGGUGUCUUGGGGCAUAGUUCAUGUCUCCUGGCCCAUCUCACAGGAUUAUCAGGAGGACGAAUGAGAUAAAAUAUCUUCAUAUAUUUUUGAAGAAAGAAGAGGCUGACCAAUUAAGAGGAGUGAAAUUUGGAGGAAAUUACUAACCUGAUAAUUAGAACACUGAUAAAAGAAAAAUGGGAGUCUCUAAGAACAAAUGAGUAAACAAUUUCUCAGGCUAAAGAAAAUAUCACCUAAUGCUUCUGAUAUACAGAAUUGUGUGCUGCAAAUGGUUGAAAAGAUUUUAGUUUCAACACCUAAUUCCCAUCAUUCUGUGGCAAAAUAUAUCUUGAGUUCUGAUGGGCGCCAGAACAACAUCUGAAGAUUGAAUGAAACUUCUAAAGUGAUAACAAGGCCCGUCCUGUACUUCACAGAAGACUUCUGAGGGUCAAAGAGAAGAUUUAUAGGCUGGAGUGCAGUGACACGAUCAUGGCUCGCUGCAGCCUUGACCUCCUGGGCUCAAGCUAUCCUCCCAUGUCAGCCUUCUGAUUAGCUGGGACUAUAGGCAUGCACCAUCAC